AUCCAGCUGACGAGUCCUAAAUAGGACGAAACGCACGUCUUGGAU
rnacentral:hammerhead_ribozyme from 1 species